UGCAGCACCCAAAUCUGGCAAACCCCUGAUGUCUUGAUAACAGAAAUUGGUGUGAUAGAGAGGGCCAGUUUGCUGGAAGAAGCUGAGCAUGAGAAGCCAAGUCUGAUUCUCACAACCCAGGUCGAAUAUGAAUUUUGCCUCUUCUGUGGAAUCCGUCUGAACACCGUACCCUCCUGUGAGCCGUGUUCCUGGUUGGACUCACUCCACUUAACAUCUUUGCCAUCCACUUGAGCACUUGAAGCAGGUUGACUUAUCACACAGCAUCCCACUAAGUGGCUGGAAGGCAGAAUGGCACCUGCAUUGCUUGUAGAGUCCAGCAAAGGGCAGACAGGGUAGUGGUGGACCAAAAAACAGCCAAUAGAAUAGAAAUGGCAUAUAGGAAUUCGCUGGAGAAGAUAGCUUCAAAAGGAUGAUUAUAAAUAUGCUCAAGGGUUUAAAGGAAACAAGGUCUAAUAGGUAAAAAUCUCAUGAAGAAACAGAGAGGA
rnacentral:lncRNA from 1 species